CAUACAAGAAAUAAUCAUUUUAUAUCAAAACUAAAAUAUUUUCCACUCUCCUUUAAAUAUUGGGUAAAUUCUACCCUCUUUUUUGUUAACAAUACUAUAUCUCAUCAAAAAAGUAAUUUUAUUUUUCGCCAAAAGAAUUAUUUUUCUAAAAAAAUGUAUUUGACGUUUCUUCUAAUUCAUUCUAUCGUUUCACUCGUGGUUUACCUAACUGCCCUUAAAAAUGCAUACUUAAUAAAUAAUAAUACUCGUAAGAAAUGGUUCAUGGUCAAGUUAAGUUACACACACUCCCAUCGACAGUAAAAGAAAUUUCAUCGUCAAGGAAAUCUGUUAUAAAGCAGUAGAAUCACGACCACAGUAUAUUUGAAAACAACGUUUAACCAAUAACGUUAUGCAACUGAAUAUAUGUAAAAAAUAUAUAUAUUUAAACGAAAUAAAGUUCGUAUAUUUUAAAUAUAUAUAGUAGGUAUAUUAAGCUAGAUAGACAUGUAUUCUAAAUACUACAAAUUUUAUAAUUUCCAAAAUUAUUCAUCCUAAAUAACAAUAAUUUUGUUAUAUUACAAAUAAUUUACCUAAAUAUCUCGUUUCUUUUAAUUUUACACAACUUUUAAUUUACUUUUAGAUUAUUUUUCAAGUAAUACCUUGCAGCAGUUUAUAGCAGCAUUAACACGUAUAAUAAGCUAUCGUUUAUAAGCAAUACAAGUGGAUUUAUUAUAUAUCCCAGACAGAGAUAAAUCUGGAAUGUGUGGUGUCUGCAUCCUCCUUUCAUAAGUGAGAGGUAAAACUAUUGGCAUUUUGUGUUUGACAUAAUUCGUUGGAUAUUUCAAGAAAUAUGACGUCGUCAUUCCUGGUGCACACUGAUACAUGUAGGUGUCUGGUUUAAAGAAAGUUAAAGGAUGGAAGCUACCGGUGCGAUCUUUAUAUUGACUGCGAUGGAUUUGUACUCCCUAAUCGUUAACUGCGUCAGAAAUGCAGAUUUUCGUAUAGUGUCGUACGCUCAUACAAGUUCGGAACAUAUACUAUUGAAGAGGAGUUCGUAUUCUGCUGUUGAAUCAUGUAGACAGUAUGAUCGUGUUUCGUAAAGUUUAAAAUCACUGACAGCUUGUUACGCGAAAAGAAAUACAGACGAAAUUUUUCCUACAUUUUAUCGAGUUAAAUUGUAAGAGAGUAGAAUUACUGAAUCACAAGUUACUUAAUGCCUUUAGACUAGUUAUUCCGAACUCGAAAAUAGCUGGUUCGCAAAUGGCUCAAGGAGAUCAAUCGAGUAUUCUUGAUCAAAGCUGCAUAACAAUCUACCAUCGCUAUGGCAGAGAGAUAGCUCGACCCAACUGACUAACCAUAUCAACAUUUCUAAGAAACGUAAGAUAGAAGCAGAGAGUAACAUAAACGCAAUCAUAAACGAACAAAAAGAAUAUUACUACUUCAGAUAGAUUCGCAUUAUUAUAUUCUAUCGAAGACUCUAUAGAAGGCAUUGUAACGUCAACAAGACAAGACCCGCAAAAAGAUUCUCUUCUUUACCAAUCUUACUCGACGAUGUUAUCGAUAUACAAGGAAUAAUGAAUACUCUCUCAAGUGUUGUAAAUAAACAGAAAUAUAAACUAAAAGUUAAAAACAACGACGUAAGAAUUUAAUCCCGAUGCUUAUAGGAAAUUAACAAAGUUAAUUGAAGACCUAAAUGAAAUAAAACUCGAGCUCCGGAAAUAUGGUAAUGGAGUAAUUAAUAUUAGCAACAUAGGCCACGGUACAACAAAAGAUCCACUAUCCUUAUUUUUUAUCGACUUGAAACAAAAACCUAACAAUCAAGCUGUAUACAACAUCAACCGAUUAAUGAAUUCUGCAGUAAAAAUUGAAUUACUUCAGAAAGAAAGGCAGGUGGUUCGGUGUAAAAGGUGUCAAAAAUAUGGGCACGUACAGAGAUAAUUAAUACGUACAGAGAUAAAUAAUUAUCG
rnacentral:misc_RNA from 1 species